UGGGACAAUGUCUUCUACAUGUUGAUGGCCGCCGAUCUCCUGGCUUGCCUAUUCCUUUCACGUGUGGUGUUCAAAGAAAUACGAGGGUGGUGCGGCUCCUGCGGAAGAAAACGAGGCUCUUGUGUGGCAUUAACAGAACCAGUAGUGUUGGAUAUGAAAUAGUUUGCAGUCUUUAAAGAAUUUUGACGGAGACCCACGUGACCGGAGGAAACCAUCGAGGCAACAGGGAGAGCCUUGCCGGAGGCAGUUGGUUUUGUUGCCCGCUCCCCUUGUUCACAGCGGGAGGAAUAAAUGAAGCUGAAACGGGAUGUGCUCCAGAAACAAAAGAGAACUCUCUUGCCGAACGCCAGUCAAGCUGAUCACCAAGCUUCACACUUUUUUAAAAAAAGAAAAGAAAAUAAGAAUAAUAACUGACGGAAGGGAACAGGGGAACAUGAUGCCGUGGAACCAAAGGAGAAAAAGAAAAGCUGGCAUAUUUGAGAUCCGUGCCAUAUCCAAAGCCUCUCUUUUGUAUCAAUUGCCCUUUUGUUACUGCGAUUUUUUAUUAUUAAAAAUGGCACGGGA